rnacentral:rRNA from 1 species
GGUUUGACGGCUAGCUAUACAUGCAGUCGAGCGGACAGAUGGGAGCUUGCUCCCUGAUGUUAGCGGCGGACGGGUGAGUAACACGUGGGUAACCUGCCUGUAAGACUGGGAUAACUCCGGGAAACCGGGGCUAAUACCGGAUGGUUGUUUGAACCGCAUGGUUCAGACAUAAAAGGUGGCUUCGGCUACCACUUACAGAUGGACCCGCGGCGCAUUAGCUAGUUGGUGAGGUAACGGCUCACCAAGGCGACGAUGCGUAGCCGACCUGAGAGGGUGAUCGGCCACACUGGGACUGAGACACGGCCCAGACUCCUACGGGAGGCAGCAGUAGGGAAUCUUCCGCAAUGGACGAAAGUCUGACGGAGCAACGCCGCGUGAGUGAUGAAGGUUUUCGGAUCGUAAAGCUCUGUUGUUAGGGAAGAACAAGUGCCGUUCAAAUAGGGCGGCACCUUGACGGUACCUAACCAGAAAGCCACGGCUAACUACGUGCCAGCAGCCGCGGUAAUACGUAGGUGGCAAGCGUUGUCCGGAAUUAUUGGGCGUAAAGGGCUCGCAGGCGGUUUCUUAAGUCUGAUGUGAAAGCCCCCGGCUCAACCGGGGAGGGUCAUUGGAAACUGGGGAACUUGAGUGCAGAAGAGGAGAGUGGAAUUCCACGUGUAGCGGUGAAAUGCGUAGAGAUGUGGAGGAACACCAGUGGCGAAGGCGACUCUCUGGUCUGUAACUGACGCUGAGGAGCGAAAGCGUGAGGAGCGAACAGGAUUAGAUACCCUGGUAGUCCACGCCGUAAACGAUGAGUGCUAAGUGUUAGGGGGUUUCCGCCCCUUAGUGCUGCAGCUAACGCAUUAAGCACUCCGCCUGGGGAGUACGGUCGCAAGACUGAAACUCAAAGGAAUUGACGGGGGCCCGCACAAGCGGUGGAGCAUGUGGUUUAAUUCGAAGCAACGCGGAGAACCUUACCAGGUCUUGACAUCCUCUGACAAUCCUAGAGAUAGGACGUCCCCUUUCGGGGGCAGAGUGACAGGUGGUGCAUGGGUUGUCGUCAGCUCGUGUCGUGAGAUGUUGGGUUAGUCCCGCAACGAGCGCAACCCUUGGAUCUAGUGCCAGCAUUCAGUUGGGCACUCUAGUGACUGCGGUGACAACCGGGAGAAGGGUGGGGGGAUGACGUCAAUCCAUCAUGGGCCCCC